GGGCCUGUAGCUCAGUGGUAGAGUGUUCCCUUCGCAUGACUGAAGCACGCAGACGUGUGGUGGUCUUAGGCCAGUCGUCCUUCGACUUUUGGUGGAGGUCGAACCAGUCGGUUUGGGAAAAGUCGUCCGUUCGAACCGGACCUGGUCCA